rnacentral:rRNA from 1 species
UACGGGAGGCAGCAGUGGGGAAUAUUGCACAAUGGGCGAAAGCCUGAUGCAGCUAUGCCGCGUGUAUGAAGAAGGCCUUAGGGUUGUAAAGUACUUUCAUCGGGGAGGAAAAACAAAACUAAUAAUUUUAUUUCUUGACGUUACCCGAAAAAGAAGCACCGGCUAACUCCGUGCCAGCAGCCGCGGUAAUACGGAGGGUGCUAGCGUUAAUCAGAAUUACUGGGCGUAAAGAGCACGUAGGUGGUUUUUUUAAGUCAGAUGUGAAAUCCCUGGGCUUAACCUAGGAACUGCAUUUUGAAACUGAAAUACUAGAGUAUCGUAGAGGGAGGUAGAAAUUCUAGGUGUAGCGGUGAAAUGCGUAGAUAUCUGGAGGAAUACCUGUGGCGAAAGCGGCCUCCUAAACGAAUACUGACACUGAGGUGCGGAAAGCGUGGGGAGCAAAACAGGGAUUAGAUACC